rnacentral:sRNA from 1 species
AGGAAUUGAGUUGAUAACAAAAUUUCUUCAGUAUGAAUCUAAGAAAAGGGUUUCAGCUGAAGAGGCCAUGAAACAUGUGUACUUUCGAAGUCUGGGACCAAGAAUACAUGCUUUACCAGAAAGUAAGAGAAAUCCUAAAGUGUUUUCCCCGCUUUAUUUGUCCAAGGUUAGGGACUGGGGUGAUUGGGGAGAUGGCUAUUGAUUUUUAAGCCUAAGAUUCUAGUCUUUUCUAUAGUUAGAUUAGAAUUUCUUGAAGGGAGGUGUGUGUCUUAUUUCCCUAUGAUUUAGUUAUUUCUUGUAACACUGAGCACAUUGUCACUCCUCUGUAGGAAACCAAUAGUACCUAGGCAAGGAUCAUUAAUCUUAUUGGACUUUAGUUGAAACAUGCCAUCUGAUGACAGGCAUUGUCCCUAGGCCCAAUCUAGCUUUGAUUUAGCGUUGUUAAAAGUGAAUUUCAAACAAAAACUAAUGAAGCAUAACCGAAACAUAAAUUGUUUUCUUGUGAAAAUACAUUUUUUCUUAAGAUACAAAGAUGAUUUUCCUUUAUUGUGGUCACACUGACUUUACUGUCCCCAUGACAGCAGUGAGCAUAUUGUCAAAGUCACUGUAAUAGCAGAUUUCCCAUGCCUGAGUAACGUUGAUUUUACUCGUAACAUUCUAUUUUUAGAUUACCACAGUAUUUUACUUUAAAAUAGAGUAAGGUGAGUGGGGAAUUAGAAGAAUGUUUGGGAACUAAGCUGCCAAAAGCUUUCAUUAAUUUCCUAUUCUCAUUUAUUAGACAAUAUUGAUUCAUCAAAGCUUGUGUAGCAGUCAGUGACAAAGCUAAUUGGAAUAAAAAAUCCUUAAUACUUUUCACUUCAACUUUACUGGAUAUAUUUAAAUGAAA